GACGUAGGGCGCGAGCGUUGUCCGGAUUUAUUGGGCGUAAAGAGCUCGUAGGCGGCUUGUCGCGUCGACUGUGAAAUCCCGCGGCUCAACCGCGGGUCUGCAGUCGAUACGGGCAGGCUAGAGUUCGGUAGGGGAGACUGGAAUUCCUGGUGUAGCGGUGAAAUGCGUAGAUACUGGGAGGAACACCAGUGGCGAAGGCGGCUACCUGGACCGGUUCUGACGCUGAGGCGCGAAAGCGUGGGUAGCAAACAGG
rnacentral:rRNA from 1 species